rnacentral:rRNA from 1 species
GACGAACGCUGGCGGCGUGCCUAAUACAUGCAAGUAGGACGCAGUUGCGAACGGGUGAGUAACGCGUCGGUAACUGCCUAUUAGUGGGGGAUAACUAUUGGAAACGAUAGCUAAUACCGCAUACUAGUAGAUGGACCUGCGUUGUAUUAGCUAGUAGGUAGGGUAAUGGCCUACCUAGGCGACGAUACAUAGCCGGCCUGGAAGGGUGAUCGGCCACACUGGGACUGGGACACGGCCCAGACUCCGUCGGGAGGCAGCAGUAGGGAAUCGUCGGCAAUGGGGGGAACCCUGACCGAGCAACGCCGCGGGGGUGAAGAAGGUUUUCGGAUCGUAAAGCUCUGUUGUGAAGGAAGCGGUACUUAACCAGAAAGGGACGGCUAACUACGUGCCAGCAGCCGCGGUAAUUC